rnacentral:rRNA from 1 species
GUGGACGCAUCACUGGUGUUCGGGUUGUCAUGCCAAUGGCACUGCCCGGUAGCUAAAUGCGGAAGAGAUAAGUGCUGAAAGCAUCUAAGCACGAAACUUGCCCCGAGAUGAGUUCUCCCUGACCCUUUAAGGGUCCUGAAGGAACGUUGAAGACGACGACGUUGAUAGGCCGGGUGUGUAAGCGCAGCGAUGCGUUGAGCUAACCGGUACUAAUGAACCGUGAGGCUUAACCUUACAACGCCGAAGGUGUUU